rnacentral:rRNA from 1 species
UGCGGAGGCUACCUGCAGUCGAACGGUAACAGGAAGCAGCUUGCUGCUUUGCUGACGAGUGGCGGACGGGUGAGUAAUGUCUGGGAAACUGCCUGAUGGAGGGGGAUAACUACUGGAAACGGUAGCUAAUACCGCAUAACGUCGCAAGACCAAAGAGGGGGACCUUCGGGCCUCUUGCCAUCGGAUGUGCCCAGAUGGGAUUAGCUUGUUGGUGGGGUAACGGCUCACCAAGGCGACGAUCCCUAGCUGGUCUGAGAGGAUGACCAGCCACACUGGAACUGAGACACGGUCCAGACUCCUACGGGAGGCAGCAGUGGGGAAUAUUGCACAAUGGGCGCAAGCCUGAUGCAGCCAUGCCGCGUGUAUGAAGAAGGCCUUCGGGUUGUAAAGUACUUUCAGCGGGGAGGAAGGGAGUAAAGUUAAUACCUUUGCUCAUUGACGUUACCCGCAGAAGAAGCACCGGCUAACUCCGUGCCAGCAGCCGCGGUAAUACGGAGGGUGCAAGCGUUAAUCGGAAUUACUGGGCGUAAAGCGCACGCAGGCGGUUUGUUAAGUCAGAUGUGAAAUCCCCGGGCUCAACCUGGGAACUGCAUCUGAUAC